AAAAAAAAUCCUCUUGGUUUUAUUUUUAGUGGCUCAUUCUUAUGAUUGGAAGAUGUUUUGUAUAUUGAAAUAUGAAAGUUUUUAAUUCCUACUGUCUAAUCUCCGUUCCUUCCUUGCACUUGCGAGCUAACCGGGCCGGGUCGUGACAGUAAAGUUACAACAAAUAGAGAUACCAUUGUGAAGAAGAAGAAGCAUAUAGAUUGGAAUUCCUUUCUCAUUUUUCAUCUUCCAUUUGAACUAUAGCUACUAACAUGUAUAUGAUGUCGGGUUGUCCGCUAUAUGGCAGUAAAAUCACUCCAUUAUCUUUUUUUCAUAGUUUUUAUGUUGCUGGCUUGUCCACUAUUCUAAAAGACUUUGAUUGAAGUUUUUGGUUCAACGGCAAGAGAUACGGCUAAGCAGCUUAAGGAGUUGGUAGAUCUAUUGAGAGCAUGAUCAGAAGUGGAUGACUGGCCAGAUUAUCUGGUCUAAAUUUUCUUCAGGGGCAUGGAUGAUUCUGGUAUUCAACCUAACUCUCAUUCAGAGUUACAUAAAGCAAAGUUAGAUGUAAUUAUGUCUUAGAAGUUUUAUUAGCUAUAUUGAUU